UACCCCCUUGGCUAAAAUUACUGCGGUUUUUCUAUGUAAGUUAUUGGGUAUGCGGUUCGUAUAUUACCGUAUUAUAUUCAUAGAAGUUAUCGGAGGUAUGUUUCUCAACAACUUUUUCUCCUCCUUGAUCAAAGUUACUGUGGUGUUUGUAUGUAAGUUAUCGAGUCCGGAUGCUUAAAACAUCAUGCUAUCUACACAAAAUGUUACUGGGUAUAUUUCCUCAACUCUUUUCCCACGGGUUAAAAAGUUACCGCGGUGUUUUGGACGCAAGUUACCAAGUCAGUCGUGCAUAUAGUAUCACGUUAUUCACACAGAAGUUACAGGGGUUAUGUUUCAACAAAUGUUUUGCUCAGGUCCGAAUUAUCACGGUGUUUUCAUCAAAGUUAUCACGUCUGUGAUGUGUAUAUUACCAUACUAUUUAUACAAAAGUUGCUGAGGGUAUCUUUUCAAAAUUUUCUUCCCCAUGGUCAAACUUAUCACGGUGUUUGUACCUAAGUUAUCUGGUCUGUGAUGUGUAUGUUAUUAUGCUAUGUACACAAAAGUUACCAGGGAAAUCUUUUCAACAAUUUUCGUCCUCAUUGUCAAAGUUAUCAGGGUGUUUUUAUCUAAGUUAUCAGUUUUGUGGUGCAUAUAUUAUCAUGCUAAACAAAAUUUUACCGUGUGUAUAUUUUCAACAACUUUUUUCCUUGGGUUCAAAAUAUCACGCUGUUUGCACCUAAGUUAUCAUACCUACAGGGCAUAUAUUACCAUGCUAUUUUUACAGAAGUCACUGGAGGUAUGUUUCCAACUUUUUUUCCUUCGACUCAAAAUUACCACAGUGUUUGUAUGCAAGUUAUGUAAUGCAGUUUGUGGUACGUAUACUACCAAUGUUACGUACGCAAAAAUUACCGAGGUUAUGUUUUUCAACAAAUGCUUUUUUCGCCGGGUCAAAAUUGGUACCUAAGACACUAAAGGGACAGCCGGUAACUCUGCGUUAGAGAUUAGGCCUUAUGUCACUAGCAGCACUGCAAUUGUUGCAGCAAAUCAGGAAUUCUAGGAUACUUUGGACGGAGGCUGGUGGAGUUUCUUCAUGUGUAGUACAAAUGGUAAUGUGUUUGCUUCAGACAUUUGACCGUUUAUAUUUAGCAGGGAUACUUAUGCUUCUCAAAUUCCUCAUGUUUGUGCUCCUGCUGCAUGUCAAGUUCGUCCUGAUUGUUCUGCUGUUCCACCUCAUGAAUAAUCUUCAACACCUUCUGCCAAGAACCCUGGCUAAAAAUAGCAUGCCACCACCUCUACACAUUUUUCCUUGAAUCAUAAGUUAAUUACAGCCCAAACUUCAGAAGAAGUGAAGAACAGACCAACACAACACAGAAACUCACUUGGACAAGGCUAGGAACAGAUCGACGGCGAGAAGCGCAAAGCAUCUGACUGUGGCCUUCACUUAUGAGCGUCAGGAAGCUCGUGUUGGCACCGUAACUGGCAAGUAGCAGUGGAAGAAAGAAGUGGGGGCAGGCAUGGUCAUGUGGCGUCAAGGAGACAGCCGACGCCGUGGGCAGUAGCAGCAUGGCCAACAGAGAGGGCUCGACGGCGGGCGCAAACGGACAUGGAGGGCGAGCAUGAGGUCAGGGUCAGAGGGGAUCAACCUGCACAUGGAGGCGUGUGGAGGCGAGAUCCUGUGUGGCGGCGCGAUCCCGGAACGCCGUCAACUCGCCGGCGGGAGGAGUUGCUUCAGCGUGCGACUCCACAUAUGGGCGCAGACGAGCGGAUGACAAGGAAAGAGAAGGGGCGAUGGUGCUGCACGAUUGGAUCAGGAGUUUUCGACCACGAUCGGACUGGAUUAGAGUCGUUAGUCGUUUUGGCAAUCUGCCACACAGUUGCCAAAUACUCCCUCCGUUUCAAAAUAGAUGAUCCAACUUUGUACUAACUUUAGUACAAAGUUGGGUCAUCUAUUUUGGAACGGAGGGAGUACAUAUUUUGUUUAUCAUAUUAAGUUAGUAUGUGGCGAACACAUGAAUCCUACGGCUCGGUUGUUAACGGUAAAUUUGUAUUUGUUCCUAUGUAUGUUAUUCCAUCUACUCUUUCGUCCCAAAAUAAAUGUCUCAACUUUGUACUAGCUUUAA